rnacentral:rRNA from 1 species
GACGAACGCCGGCGGCGUGCUUAACACAUGCAAGUCGAGCGGAAAGGCCCUUUCGGGGGUACUCGGGCGGCGAACGGGUGAGUAACACGUGAGUAAUCUGCCCUGGACUCUGGGAUAGCCACCGGAAACGGUGAUUAAUACCGGAUAUGACACCUUGCUGCAUGGUGGGGUGUGGAAAGUUUUUUCGGUCCAGGAUGUGCUCGCGGCCUAUCAGCUUGUUGGUGAGGUAAUGGCUCACCAAGGCUUUGACGGGUCGCGGGCCUGCGAGGGUGACCGGUCACGCUGGGAAUGAGGCACGGCCCAGACUCCGGCGGGAGGGAGCAGUGGGGAAUAUUGGACAAUGGGCGGAGGCCUGAUCCAGCAACGCCGCGUGAGGGAUGACGGCCUUCGGGUUGUAAACCUCUUUCAGUACCGACGAAGCGUGAGUGACGGUAGGUACAGAAGAAGGACCGGCCAACUACGUGCCAGCCGCCGCUGUAAGAC